GUCGAACGCUUCUUUCCUCCCGAGUGCUUGCACUCAAUUGGAAAGAGGAGUGGCGGACGGGUGAGUAACACGUGGGUAACCUACCCAUCAGAGGGGGAUAACACUUGGAAACAGGUGCUAAUACCGCAUAACAGUUUAUGCCGCAUGGCAUAAGAGUGAAAGGCGCUUUCGGGUGUCGCUGAUGGAUGGACCCGCGGUGCAUUAGCUAGUUGGUGAGGUAACGGCUCACCAAGGCCACGAUGCAUAGCCGACCUGAGAGGGUGAUCGGCCACACUGGGACUGAGACACGGCCCAGACUCCUACGGGAGGCAGCAGUAGGGAAUCUUCGGCAAUGGACGAAAGUCUGACCGAGCAACGCCGCGUGAGUGAAGAAGGUUUUCGGAUCGUAAAACUCUGUUGUUAGAGAAGAACAAGGACGUUAGUAACUGAACGUCCCCUGACGGUAUCUAACCAGAAAGCCACGGCUAACUACGUGCCAGCAG
rnacentral:rRNA from 1 species